UUCAGCAGGUCUAAUUCAAAUACUGAUAGGAUGGAGUUUAGAAUCAUAAAAAAAUGCAGCUGCCUUUCUUUCUUUUAUAGCCAGGCUAGAGAAAUCAUCUUGCUCACUUGGCCAUUUCCUGCUGUGCCACUCGCUAUUUGACUUGGCCGGCAAUAGCCGCCAAGGAUAGGGCGUUGCUUGUCUCGCCAGUGAUCCUGGACCUUGCAUGCUGACUUUUCUGCUGCUCUGGUGGCCAUGUGUGGCUUAUUAGCUGAAAGCGGUGAAGAGUGACAAGCACAAGGAAGGGUUUUGGAUAGCAGACAUCCCUAGGAUCAUUAGAACCUUGCUAGAUUUUCAGCCUGGAGAGCCGCCCUGAGCGCACUGCACUGCAGAUUGCUGCCAUGCAGAUACAGAAGCUGCCCUGCUGUACCACCCCAUGCUGAGUUGCCCACAGCCCAGAGAGCCGAGAGACAGAGUCAGAAAGGGUUUAAACUCCUACAAGUCUUACCGGGUGAAUAAUGUCAAUAUCCAUGCCGGAGUUAUUCAUGGAAGUGUGCACGUUUUGAUGAAAAACAAAAGCUACAAAGUCAAGGUCUGUCUACAAAAAGAAUCAUGUCACUGCUAGCAACUUUGGUCAAGUAUUGGCUGCAGUUGGACGCCACUCUUACCCUCCCUCGCUCUUCGAAACUUUGUGAGGACAAUACAAUAUGAGUGAAGGAAUCAAGGCUAUGCACUGGGGUAUCCUUCAUGAACCUGUUGCUCUUGCAGAGUGCACACGCAUCACUGGCCAGCCUGUAUCUCCAGCAGGAAUUGGACUUGCUCCAAGUGGUGUUCUUGGAGCUUCACUGGAUGGAAUCGCUGAGAUCAAGUGCCCCUGGCCAGCCAGAUAUGAAACACCCACCACACAAGCGGCUGAAAAGAAAGACUUUUAUUUGACCAUGGAUGAGGUUACUGGCUCAUUGAAACUAAAAAGGGACCAUGCUUACUUUCACCAAAUACUGUAAAGGGUCAUCUGUACUUGGCGGGGUGUUACAAGUGUGAC